GGGUGUGGGGUGGGGGCCCGCCCUUCGCCCUUCGCCCUUCGCCCUUCAGUGCGGGGAGGAUGUGCCUCGAGCGCCGAUGUGCAGUCCCGGGGAUCCUGGCCCCUCCCCACGCGCUGCCGUCCCCGGGGGCGCGGGGCGGUGACUCUCCCCGCCUCUCAGCGCCGCCGCUUCUUCCCAUAAACUGGCAACACCCAUUUCACGAGGCUGUAAAGGUUAGAAAGCGGCCCGACGCGACGGCACGAGGCUGCGCUCCCGGGCGGCGGAGCCUGGAGGGGCCGGGUCACUCCUCCCGCCCGGGCGCAGGGAACCGCCCUGCCCCGCCCCGCCCCACCCCUCCCGAUGCGGGCGGGCCCGCCCUGCGGCUCCUUUUAAAAACCACAGUCGCAGCCGCCAGCUAGACCAAACGUCCUCCGCCACCCGACGACCUCGCAGACCCGCAGCCAUGCCGGCAAGGGCUGGCAAGACCU